UUGGAAUAAUCCAACUUCACUUGCGGCAACGCGGGAGUGGUUAUUUGUGCACAUUUCAAAAUAAAAUUGAAACGAUGGCAGGAGUAAAUGUGGAGAUUCCAAAGAUUGGAGGUUAAGUGUAUGUUUUGGUCGUUUCGGAAGAGAAAAACGUACCGUAACAUAAAGUAUACACAUGCGGAUUAUGCGAAAUAAUUCUUGGGGACCUUGAGGAUGAAGAAACAUGGUCCCAUGAAUGUUUUGCAAAUUAUUCAGAGAUUGUUUUUGAUGUGAAUAGCUUGUAUUUAUAUCCCAAAUGUGAAGAUGGAAGCAUUGUGCGCCGAAGUGCGAUUAAUGGAGCAGAGCAGAUUGUAAUAGAAUCGCCUCUUCCGACACAAGAGCCGUGCCCAGUGGAAAACCUGGAAGAACUUAUCAUUACAGAAGUGUCGGCACGAGAACUGUUAUGGAAUCAAAAACUGAGUAUAACAAAACGUGACAGGCAAACUGUACAACAACUUUGGAAGCAAGUGGCUAAUGCGACGAAUGGCGAAUGUUCUGUCGAUGAGGUAAAAAAAAAUGGAAGAACUUAAGGGAUCGUUACAUGAAAAUAAUCUCUCUUGAAAAGUUGCCAAGUGGAUCAGGAAGUAAACCAUCUCGCAGAAAGUGGCAACAUUACGAAUUGUUGUCUUUCUUACGUGACACUUCUUUGGAAAAAGAGACAGUUUCAAAUAUGAUGAGUCGUGAGGAAGACACUAGCAAUGAUGACACGGAAAUCCAAAGUGUGGACGUCGUAGAAGUCAACGGUGCGAUUGAUGCAUCAAAAAGUAUUUCGUUCAUAAGCUGAAUGAAAAGAAAACGAAAAAGUACUGAGCGCGAAGAAGACUUGAUGAAGCAGAUAGCAGAGGCCUUGCAGACUCCACGACCACCUUUGCCAACUCCUCCUGUUCUUGACGAAGUUGACAAUUUUACUUCGAUGAUUGCCUGCCAGCUACGAGAGUUGUCAUCAGUCCGCAGACGCGCAAUAAUGUUGAAAAUUCACGAGCUCUUACGUGCUGAAUUAUUGCGUAACGACAAUUCGGCAACAACAAUAAUAUAACGUAAAAUAUAAUAAUAUGAAUAAUAUAUGUAUACGUAUAGUAAUAAAACGAGACUGAUUUUGUUAGUGCAAUAAAGCCGAAGCGUAUUUA